UACGAAGGGGGCUAGCGUUGUUCGGAAUUACUGGGCGUAAAGCGCAUGUAGGCGGCGAUUCAAGUCGGGGGUGAAAUCCCAGGGCUCAACCCUGGAACUGCCUUCGAUACUGUAUUGCUAGAGUAUGGAAGAGGUAAGUGGAACUGCAAGUGUAGAGGUGAAAUUCGUAGAUAUUUGCAAGAACACCAGUGGCGAAGGCGGCUUACUGGUCCAUUACUGACGCUGAGAUGCGAAAGCGUGGGGAGCAAACAGGAUUAGAUACCCUGGUAGUCCACGCCGUAAACGAUGAGAGCUAGCUGUUGGGGAGUUUACUCUUCAGUAGCGCAGAUAACUCAAUAAGCUCUCCGCCUGGGGAGUACGGUCGCAAGAUUAAA
rnacentral:rRNA from 1 species